rnacentral:rRNA from 1 species
AUGGAGCACUGGACAGAGGGUCUCGUGGAUGUUGCCGCGGCCAUCGACGGGGAGCUGGCGCAGCUGAGGAUGGAGGAUCUUGCGUAUUCCUCCAAUGAGCAUCUCCGACCCAGCGCCAAGCUCAGCUUGUUCUUCAAAGGCGUGGCGACGGCCCUCCAGCGGCUCCGGGAGAGGAUCCCAAAGCAGCUGGCCGACGAGUCGCGCAAGAUCUGCGCGGGGGCUCUUCAAAAGGUGCUGGUGAAGGUGGCCUUCCACAACCCAGGCCUCAACCUCACCAACGUCCUCAGGACCUUGCCGCCGGAUGCUGAUCUGGAAGCGCUCAAGGCCCUUGUCGCACCCAUUGUGGACAAGGUGAGCGGGAUCAAGAGGGUUGAGGGCGAUCGCGUAGAUUAG